AUAAGAUUAGUUUAAUGGUAAAACGACAUCUUGUGGCGAUGUUAAUCAGAGUUCAAAUCUCUGAUUUUAUC